AACGAACGCUGGCGGCAGGCUUAACACAUGCAAGUCGAGCGCCCCGCAAGGGGAGCGGCAGACGGGUGAGUAACGCGUGGGAAUCUACCCAUCUCUACGGAAUAACGCAUGGAAACGUGUGCUAAUACCGUAUACGUCCUUCGGGAGAAAGAUUUAUCGGAGAUGGAUGGGCCCGCGUGGGAUUAGCUAGUUGGUGGGGUAAAGGCCUACCAAGGCGACGAUUCAUAGCUGGUCUGAGAAGAUGAUCAGCCGCACUGCGACUGAGACACGGACCAGACUCCUACGGGAGGCAGCAGUGGGGAAUAUUGGGCAAUGCGCGCAAGCCUGAUCCAGCCAUGCCGCGUGAGUGAUGAAGGCCCUAGGGUUGUAAAGCUCUUUCACCGGUGAAGAUAAUGACGGUAACCGGAGAACAAGCCCCGGCUAACUGCGUGCCAGCCGCCGCAGUAAAAC
rnacentral:rRNA from 1 species